rfam:Syntrophobacterales bacterium RIFOXYC2_FTLL_60_23 rifoxyc2_full_scaffold_16786_curated, whole genome shotgun sequence.
CAGGAGCCGCCGAGAGGCGACCCGUUGGGGCGGUAGGAGUCAGCUGAGGCCAUAACCCCACUGCGCAUGAGGGGGAGGGC